GAUGAACGCUAGCUACAGGCUAAACACAUGCAAGUCGAGGGACCGGCGCACGGGUGAGUAACACGUAUACAACAUGACCUUUACUCGGGGAUAGCCUUUCGAAAGAAAGAUUAAUAACCGAAAUAAAGGACGGGGAUGCGUUCCAUUAGGUUGGUGGUUAGGUAACGGCUCACCAAGCCUGCGAUGGAUAGGGGUUCUGAGAGGAAGGUCCCGCACAUUGGAACUGGGACACGGGCCAAACUCCGACGGGAGGCAGCAGUGAGGAAUAUUGGUCAAUGGGCGCUAGCCUGAACCAGCCAAGUAGCGUGAAGGAUGAAGGCUUAUUGGUCGUAAACUUCUUUUAUAUAAGAAUAUGUAUUAUAUGAAUAAUGAUCGGCGAACUCCGUGCCAGCAGCCGCGGUAAUAC
rnacentral:rRNA from 1 species